rnacentral:rRNA from 1 species
CAGCCGCCGCGGUAACACGUAGGUGGCAAGCGUUGUCCGGAAUUAUUGGGCGUAAAGGGAGUGUAGGCGGUCUUUUAAGUCUGAUGUGAAAGCCCACGGCUCAACCGUGGAGGGUCAUUGGAAACUGGGAGACUUGAGUGCAGAAGAGGAGAGCGGAAUUCCAUGUGUAGCGGUGAAAUGCGUAGAUAUAUGGAGGAACACCAGUGGCGAAGGCGGCUCUCUGGUCUGUAACUGACGCUGAGGCUCGAAAGCGUGGGGAGCAAACAGGAUUAGAGACCCCAGUAGUCCCUGUCUCUUAUAC